GACGGAAGGUGCAAGCGUUGCUCGGAAUCACUGGGCGUAAAGGGUGCGUAGGCGGCCGCGCAAGUCUGGCGUGAAAGCCCCGGGCUCAGCCCGGGAAGGGCGCUCGAAACGGCGCGGCUCGAGUGCCGGAGGGGAGAGUGGAAUUCCUGGUGUAGCGGUGAAAUGCGUAGAUAUCAAGAGGAACACCAGUGGCGAAGGCGAGUCCCUGGACAACACCUGACACUGAAGCACGAAAGCUAGGGGAGCAAACAGG
rnacentral:rRNA from 1 species